AAUAGGGUUAAUGUUGAACAGCAGGUUAAAGAGGAAACAGACCACAGAGCCAUGCAUAUGCCAAUCUAGUGUUAUGACAGAAAGGGAAAACUGAACCAGAAGAUGCUGUCAUGAGGAAGGAGAUUAUGGAAAACAAUGAUUAUAGUCAACUGGAAUGAGCAAGAGGAGUCCUGUGUCCACAACGACUGCUCAGAAGGACCAGAAAGUACCAUGUAUGCUGCCAAGCAGGAAAGAAAUCAACAGUGUGAUUCAGCUGUGACACCUUUGGACUAUGACAAUGACCAGCAUGGCGAGAUACCUAUAAAGAUCCUCAUGGAUUACUUGACCAACUGAGCCAUUGUCCCAGACUCUAAGGAUCCAGUUUGAAAUGACAUAGACUGUGACAACUACUGGCACUGCUGAAUACACAUGAGAAAGCGUUACUUGGUAAUUUGGAUAAUAGCAGGUGGAGAGCUACUGGAAAGAGGAGAGCCCUGACACAGGGUUGAAGGUGCAGCCAAGCUCCACUUGUGAGGCACAGGGUGGAACCCAACAUAAGAUGGUAGGACCCUUGACAUACAAGAGGUACAUGGACACAAAGGUGGCAGUGCGAGUGGACCAGGACUUGAGCCUGAAAUGAUUGAUCUUCCUCUCUGUCCAGUGAUGUGUAUUCUGCAGACUGGCAUCAUGCAUCCAAAAG